rnacentral:snRNA from 4 species
AUACUUACCUGGCGUAGAGGUUACCGUGAUCAUGAAGGCGGUUCCUCCAGGGUGAGGCUCUUCCAUUGCACUACGGUUGAGCUGACCUCUGCGAAUAUCCCUAAUGUGGAUAUCUCGGACGUACAAUUUUUGGUAGUCGGGACUGCGUUCGCGCUAUCCCGG